UGGGUUGUAAACUGCUUUUGUCAGGGAAUAAACCUGYCUACGUGUAGACAGYUGAAGGUACCKGAAGAAUAAGCAUCGGCUAACUCCGUGCCAGCAGCCGCGGUAAUACGGAGGAUGCAAGCGUUAUCCGGAUUCAUUGGGUUUAAAGGGUGCGCAGGCGGAUUGUUAAGUCAGGGGUGAAAUCCUACAGCUCAACUGUAGAACUGCCCUUGAUACUGUCAGUCUAGAGUAUAGUUGAAGUGGGCGGAAUGUGUCAUGUAGCGGUGAAAUGCUUAGAUAUGACACAGAACACCGAUCGCGAAGGCAGCUCSCUAAGCUAUAACUGACGCUCAUGCACGAAAGCGUGGGGAUCAAACAGGAUUAGAUACCCUGGUAGUCCACGCUGUAAACGAUGAUUACUCGAUGUUGGCGAUACACAGUCAGCGUCUGAGCGAAAGCAAUAAGUAAUCC
rnacentral:rRNA from 1 species